GUUGAACGAAUGUAGCAGUUUGUUUCAUGAAAUCUAUUUCCAUUCCUUGCUCCCAUUCGAUUCCGUUUCUUUUGCUGCCGUUAUUAGGAUUCUUGCUAUGAAACAGAUGAACCCUAAAACUGAUUAACGAACACGCAUAUGAGAAAAGGAGAGAUCGAUUCAUACAUACCUUACUUAAAUCAAACCCUAAAUCGCAUAGCAGAACGGGUUCAUCGUUUGUAAUUGCCCUUCCUUUGGUUCACGCUUAAUCGCCCUUCCUUUGGUUCUCUGCUUCACUCGCUUAAUCGCUUUCUGAAAUCACUUCUCUGCUUCUUUGCGUUUCUCAAAUUGUUUGUAACGGUGUUAAACUGUGUUAAAUCCACGUCAGUAGCAAAAUAGACACGUCAUCGUUUUUCUGCACGAAAAUGACGAAAAGGACCAAAGUGUUCACGUAUUGAGAGAUAAAGGACCAAAACGUUACAAAAAAAAGAUAAAGGACCAAAGUGUUACAACAAAAUAAAAUAAAGGACCUGUAGUGUAAUUCUGCCAAUAAUAAAUUAUUGAGGUAUAUGGUGGACCACCUAUAAUGUUGGUCCACCUAAUACAUUUGGGGUUGAUAAAUUAACGGAAAUGACUAAUUUGACAAACAGUGACAUCUUUAAGGGACCUAAGCGGAACUUUUAUUCAAUAAGGGACUAAUGUGAAACCAAAAAUUU
rnacentral:lncRNA from 1 species